CUCCAUAUGGUACAGUAUAUAUUAUUAUAUAUUAUGUAUUAAUAAUAAUAAAAAAGUUAAACACAAUUUAUUGAAAAAUGAAAAUGCAGGUUCUACUGCAAAACCUGAAGAUAUGUACCGAAUUAUCGAGCAUUUUUCACUUGGUCGCCGUAGGCUUGAGCUUUUUGGUGAAGACCAUAAUAUUCGCUCUGGCUGGUUGACUGUUGGUAAAGAUUUAUCCUCUUCAAAUUUCAAUUCUGAGGUACUUUUUUUUUUUUUUUAUAACUAUUGAGUAAAUUACAAUGAUAUUUUGCAUUACUACUACUCCUUGUGGUUUUAUUGAUAUGAUUUNCUUGAUGGGCAUAAAAGGAACUGUACGUCGCAGCACAGACGGUCAUAUAAUCCAUGCCAACAUUGAUACAGAUGUAAUUAUCGCGGAGGAGCCUCCAUAUGGUACAGUAUAUAUUAUUAUAUAUUAUGUAUUAAUAAUAAUAAAAAAGUUAAACACAAUUUAUUGAAAAAUGAAAAUGCAGGUUCUACUGCAAAACCUGAAGAUAUGUACCGAAUUAUCGAGCAUUUUUCACUUGGUCGCCGUAGGCUUGAGCUUUUUGGUGAAGACCAUAAUAUUCGCUCUGGCUGGUUGACUGUUGGUAAAGAUUUAUCCUCUUCAAAUUUCAAUUCUGA
rnacentral:lncRNA from 1 species